AGCGAACGCUGGCGGCAGGCCUAACGCAUGCAAGUCGAACGGAUCCUUCGGGAUUAGUGGCGGACGGGUGAGUAACACGUGGGAACGUGCCCUUUGGUUCGGAACAACUCAGGGAAACUUGAGCUAAUACCGGAUGUGCCCUUCGGGGGAAAGAUUUAUCGCCAUUGGAGCGGCCCGCGUCUGAUUAGCUAGUUGGUGAGGUAAAGGCUCACCAAGGCGGCGAUCAGUAGCUGGUCUGAGAGGAUGAUCAGCCACAUUGGGACUGAGACACGGCCCAAACUCCUACGGGAGGCAGCAGUGGGGAAUCUUGCGCAAUGGGCGAAAGCCUGACGCAGCCAUGCCGCGUGAAUGAUGAAGGUCUUAGGAUUGUAAAAUUCUUUCACCGGGGACGAUAAUGACGGUACCCGGAGAAGAAGCCCCGGCUAACUUCGUGCCAGCAGCCGCAGUAAUAC
rnacentral:rRNA from 1 species